AGAAUCAACGCUGGCGGCGUGCCUAACACAUGCAAGUCGCACGAGAAAGGGACUUCGGUCCUGAGUACAGUGGCGCACGGGUGAGUAACACGUGAAUAAUCUACCUCCGAGUGGGAAAUAACUGAGAGAAAUCUUAGCUAAUACCGCAUAACACUUACGAGUCAAAGCAGCAAUGCGCUUGGAGAGGAGUUCGCGGCAGAUUAGUUAGUUGGCGGGGUAAUGGCCCACCAAGACGAUGAUCUGUAUCCGGCCUGAGAGGGCGCACGGACACACUGGAACUGAAACACGGUCCAGACUCCUACGGGAGGCAGCAGUGGGGAAUUUUGCGCAAUGGGGGAAACCCUGACGCAGCAACGCCGCGUGGAGGAUGAAAUAUCUUGGUAUGUAAACUCCUUUCGAUGGGGAAGAUAAUGACGGUACCCAUAGAAGAAGCCCGGCUAACUUCGUGCCAGCAGCCGCGGUAA
rnacentral:rRNA from 1 species